rnacentral:rRNA from 1 species
AGAUUGAACGCUGGCGGCAGGCCUAACACAUGCAAGUCGAGCGGUAGAGAGGUGCUUGCACCUCUUGAGAGCGGCGGACGGGUGAGUAAUGCCUAGGAAUCUGCCUAGUGGUGGGGGAUAACGUUCGGAAACGGACGCUAAUACCGCAUACGUCCUACGGGAGAAAGCGGGGGACCUUCGGGCCUCGCGCCAUUAGAUGAGCCUAGGUCGGAUUAGCUAGUUGGUGAGGUAAUGGCUCACCAAGGCGACGAUCCGUAACUGGUCUGAGAGGAUGAUCAGUCACACUGGAACUGAGACACGGUCCAGACCUCCGUAACGGGAGCGACGGACAGGUGGGGAAAUAGUUAGGACAAGUGGGACGAAAGCCUGAUCCAGCCAGUCGCCGUCGUGUGUAGAACGAAGGUUCGUCGGUAAUUAGUAAAG